AGGAGGAAAGAAGGGACAGAUGCCUUAGUUGCUUUUCUAUUUCAUGUUUAGAUGCCAUGGCCAAGCCAACUUAGACAGGAAGCAGUUAUGGGGGCUGUGGUUCCAGAGGGUGAGUCCAUGACUGUCCCAUUGGAGAGCACAGCAGCAGGGAGGGAGGCAUGGCACUGGAGCAGUGGCUGAGAAUGGAAUGGGCUUUUAACACUCCUCCUCCAAUAGAGCCACACCUCCUAAUCCUUCCCAAACAGUUCUACCAACUGGAGACCAACUAUUUAAACAUAUAAGCCUAUGGGGGCCGAUCUCAUUCAAACACCCAGGAGGAAGCAGGGGAUUCUGGGGAAUUCACACUACUGUAGUGUUGGGUAGUGAGAUGAAUACUGGAUGAAAGGGUGAGAGGGAGGGAUAGCCAAGGGCCUUGAGAAAACGUUUUUUGGGGGGUGAUAGAUGUUUAUUUCUUCGGAUUAUAAAAGUUUUGUGGAUACAUGACACAUUGAAACAAGAUAUCCAUUUUAAGUCUGUGUUGUUUGUUAUGUGCCAAUUAUACCGCAGUAAAGCUGUUAAAACCCACAGGAACUCACUGGCAGAUGGGGGCUCUUGGGAAAUGGGGAUGUAUCAAAUGCAACUCUACCCCUGAGUGGGCUAAGGAGAUUAGGGUGGGUUGAAGUCACCAUUUUACGGUAGACUCUUUUACCUACCCCAAUCUUCUCCACCCCAAGCCCAUCCAAACCCCCAACACUAGGUAGGAGAGAAAGAAGAUUGAGGCAAAAGGGGGCCUCGGUUUAUACACCCUCUUAUGAGUCCCCAGAAUUCCAAACAUAAACUAUCUUCAGCUGGCAAAAUCAUGCCCUGCCAGGGAUGCCCCUGCUUCACCGUUAACUUUCCGGGUUAGCGUAGAGCACACGGGUUAAAGGUUCCUCCACAGAUAACUCUUCCCCCCUCAGAUGUCAUCCAUAAACAGGGCACCCACGUGACUCCCUUCUGUCUGUUUAAACCGAUUGUUUCUGUCAAGUUGACACACACCCAGACAACUGCGAGGAGAGUAUCUUAACUAAGAAAAUGCCUCCCUAAGACUCUCCUGCAAGUUCUAGGGGGACGAGGAGGAAUAGGGAGGGAGAGCUGCCAUCAGGAUGUGUUGUAUGAGAGGAAAAUAAAU